rnacentral:rRNA from 1 species
GCUUGGCCCUAAACCUCAGUAGUUAAACAACAAAACUACUCGCCAGAAUACUACGAGCAACAGCUUAAAACUCAAAGGACUUGACGGUGCUUUACACCCCCUAGAGGAGCCUGUUCCAUAAUCGAUAAACCCCGAUUCACCCCACCCUCUCUUGCUCAGCCUAUAUACCGCCAUCUUCAGCAAACCCUGAUAAAGAUUACAAAGUGAGCGCAAACGCCUCCCCGCAAAAACGUUAGGUCAAGGUGUAGCCCAUGAGACGGUAAAAAAUGGGCUACAUUUUCUGUAUCAGAAAACCCACGAAAACCCUUAUGAAAUUUAAGAGUCCAAGGAGGAUUUAGCAGUAAAUUAAGAAUAGAGUGCUUAAUUGAACCAGGCCAUAAAGCGCG